rnacentral:piRNA from 1 species
UGGCUGUCAGGGCUGGACUGUGCCCCAUAGU